UAAUGCCGGAUGCUCCAGUUGGAUGCAUGUCCUUCUGGGAAAGAUUCUAUCGGUAUGGGAUGGGGUCGCGUCCUAUCAGCUUGAUGGCGGGGUAACGGCCCACCAUGGCUUCGACGGGUAGCCGGCCUGAGAGGGCGACCGGCCACAUUGGGACUGAGAUACGGCCCAGACUCCUACGGGAGGCAGCAGUGGGGAAUAUUGCACAAUGGGCGCAAGCCUGAUGCAGCGACGCCGCGUGCGGGAUGACGGCCUUCGGGUUGUAAACCGCUUUUGACUGGGAGCAAGCCCUUCGAGGUGAGUGUACCUUUCGAAUAAGCACCGGCUAACUGCGUGCCAGCAGCCGCGGUAAUACGUAGGGUGCAAGCGUUAUCCGGAAUUAUUGGGCGUAAAGGGCUCGUAGGCGGUUCGUCGCGUCCGGUGUGAAAGUCCAUCGCUUAACGGUGGAUCCGCGCCGGGUACGGGCGGGCUUGAGUGCGGUAGGGGAGACUGGAAUUCCCGGUGUAACGGUGGAAUG
rnacentral:rRNA from 1 species